CUUUGGACAAUGGUAGGAGAGCGUUCUAAGGGCGUUGAAGCAUGAUCGUAAGGACAUGUGGAGCGCUUAGAAGUGAGAAUGCCGGUGUGAGUAGCGAAAGACGGGUGAGAAUCCCGUCCACCGAUUGACUAAGGUUUCCAGAGGAAGGCUCGUCCGCUCUGGGUUAGUCGGGUCCUAAGCUGAGGCCGACAGGCGUAGGCGAUGGAUAACAGGUUGAUAUUCCUGUACCACCUAUAAUCGUUUUAAUCGAUGGGGGGACGCAGUAGGAUAGGCGAAGCGUGCGAUUGGAUUGCACGUCUAAGCAGUAAGGCUGAGUAUUAGGCAAAUCCGGUACUCGUUAAGGCUGAGCUGUGAUGGGGAGAAGACAUUGUGUCUUCGAGUCGUUGAUUUCACACUGCCGAGAAAAGCCUCUAGAUAGAAAAUAGGUGCCCGUACCGCAAACCGACACAGGUAGUCAAGAUGAGAAUUCUAAGGUGAGCGAGCGAACUCUCGUUAAGGAACUCGGCAAAAUGACCCCGUAACUUCGGGAGAAGGGGUGCUCUUUAGGGUUAACGCCCAGAAGAGCCGCAGUGAAUAGGCCCAAGCGACUGUUUAUCAAAAACACAGGUCUCUGCUAAACCGUAAGGUGAUGUAUAGGGGCUGACGCCUGCCCGGUGCUGGAAGGUUAAGAGGAGUGGUUAGCUUCUGCGAAGCUACGAAUCGAAGCCCCAGUAAACGGCGGCCGUAACUAUAACGGUCCUAAGGUAGCGAAAUUCCUUGUCGGGUAAGUUCCGACCCGCACGAAAGGCGUAACGAUUUGGGCACUGUCUCAACGAGAGACUCGGUGAAAUCAUAGUACCUGUGAAGAUGCAGGUUACCCGCGACAGGACGGAAAGACCCCGUGGAGCUUUACUGUAGCCUGAUAUUGAAAUUCGGCACAGCUUGUACAGGAUAGGUAGGAGCCUUUGAAACGUGAGCGCUAGCUUACGUGGAGGCGCUGGUGGGAUACUACCCUAGCUGUGUUGGCUUUCUAACCCGCACCACUUAUCGUGGUGGGAGACAGUGUCAGGCGGGCAGUUUGACUGGGGCGGUCGCCUCCUAAAAGGUAACGGAGGCGCUCAAAGGUUCCCUCAGAAUGGUUGGAAAUCAUUCAUAGAGUGUAAAGGCAUAAGGGAGCUUGACUGCGAGACCUACAAGUCGAGCAGGGUCGAAAGACGGACUUAGUGAUCCGGUGGUUCCGCAUGGAAGGGCCAUCGCUCAACGGAUAAAAGCUACCCCGGGGAUAACAGGCUUAUCUCCCCCAAGAGUUCACAUCGACGGGGAGGUUUGGCACCUCGAUGUCGGCUCAUCGCAUCCUGGGGCUGUAGUCGGUCCCAAGGGUUGGGCUGUUCGCCCAUUAAAGCGGUACGCGAGCUGGGUUCAGAACGUCGUGAGACAGUUCGGUCCCUAUCCGUCGUGGGCGUAGGAAAUUUGAGAGGAGCUGUCCUUAGUACGAGAGGACCGGGAUGGACAUACCUCUGGUGUACCAGUUGUCGUGCCAACGGCAUAGCUGGGUAGCUAUGUGUGGACGGGAUAAGUGCUGAAAGCAUCUAAGCAUGAAGCCCCCCUCAAGAUGAGAUUUCCCAACUUCGGUUAUAAGAUCCCUCAAAGAUGAUGAGGUUAAUAGGUUCGAGGUGGAAGCAUGGUGACAUGUGGAGCUGACGAAUACUAA
rnacentral:rRNA from 1 species